AAGCGUGACCUUAAAAUUAAUUUGUCACCAAGACUGACCUGGACAGACAGGACAUGGCUUUUCUUUGUUAUUUACUCACUUGGCGUGUAGUUCUCCUGUACACCUCACUGCAGACAUCAUGUUUUCCUUACUGUGCCCCUCCUCCACUCAGAAUAGAAAGCAAUAGUUGUCUUUGUACUAUAUUAUAUCAACAAACAAGUGUUUUCAGAGUUCUCAGACUAUCUGACCUCCAGGAAUUUGGUCAGAGAUCACAGAAACUACAAUAUAAUUAAUUGGCAGUUACUAUUAGUAUUUUGUCCUAUUUUGACAUAGUUGUACUUAAAUUAAAAAAAAAGUUUGAAGAAAUACGAGUAAUUGUUCAGUUCCUCACAGCUCAGUGCAGGCGUUUGCUUAACUCCCAACAUGCUGCCUUCAGUAAAGGUCCUUCCUCUGCAACCCGCUUGGCUGACCGGCUCCAUGAAAUAACCUUCACGGAGCAGGUGUGUGUGUGUGUGUGUGUGUGUGUGUGUGUGUGUGUGUGUGUGUGUGUGGUGGUAGUGGUGUUCUAUUGUACACCCCCAUCCCUCAGAGCAGGGGUGGAGAGGUGGAGGUUGGAGGGAGGGGGAGGAGUCGGGAACUUCCUGUGCAACCACACCUCCAGUCCUCACCUCUGUUUCCUAACUGGACUCUGAACUCCCCUCAGUCUAAGCUCCACCCACAGCUUCUCACCUUCCAGUGCCCGAAUGUCCUGGGUAUGUUGGAUGAGUUAUGCUUUUUGGCUCUCUGUCGUUUAGGGCACUUUUGAUCAAAUCAAUCCGCAUUUGACCCUUUGCUGUCUAGUUUCUAGAAUCCGGUUGCUAUGAGCCCCUCCGCAGCUUAUGCUUAAUGUGAUAACGACAAAACAGCCGGGGCUUCUGGAGAAACCCCAAAGUAGCUUCCUUUGUACUCUAGUGAGGUUUCAAGGAAGAGCAGAAGUUACAAGCUUGCCUUCAACCUGCCAUCUGUAGUAGGUUUACCACGUUCUUCAGAUGGCCCAGUGUCUCCUCCGUGUUUACCCUGUACAGGUUGAGUGUGUGUUGCUGGACUGGAGGUCUUGAGCCACGGUUUGUGGCCUGCACUUGUCUUCUUGCACUCAAGUCCGGAAAGGCCGAGAAAACCAAAGCCAGUAUCCAGGAUUCUGGCGGCACAGAUCUGUCCCACGCUAGGGAGCUCACGUGGUCUUCUCCUUUCCUUCCUUGUUUCCUUCCCCCAGUCUUGUUUUGAGAUAAGUAUUUCAUUAAGUUCCCCAGGCAGCUUUGAACUUUCAGAGCUCUUGCCUGGGUCUCCCAAGUAGCUAAGACUAAAUGUGCUUAAUUUAAUGUAAAGCAGCCCUGUGGUUCCCUAACCUCAACCUGCCUCCCACAGCUUCCCUCAGGCAUCUAGAAGAGGGCAGAGUGAGGCAGAGUUAGGAGGAUCGGUAGAUUGACAGCCAGGGAGGAGACUGGCAUCUGGAAAAUUCUUUCUUUGGUGCCGUAAACAGCAAAAUGUGUGGCUUUUUAUGUUAGAAGCCACUCCGCCAUAGCCGUGCCUAGGGAUAGUAUUGGAAAUAUUUAACAGCGGGCGUACUGAGGGCAGUCACCAAUUUGGACCAUCCUUAUGAUUUAAUAAUGCUUACUGACUCACUGGCCACAAGGCUUAGGCUGGGAUCUAGAAUGCUGCAAUUUUCUAUACUUUUCUCUACAUUUAUCACCUUCUAAUUUCCAGAAAGACGCCAUCACACCAAGUUUCCUUGCACCUAUGGCGAACAUUGGGUGCAGUCCUUACCUCUGGGGAGAUGUCUGACAGCAGGGGAGUGACAUAUUGUGCCAGGGAUGUGCUUUAAAUGAUGGAAUGCAUGCUGUAGAGCUGAGUUUGGUCCCUCAAACCUCAACGCCCACGAAUGAGUGGGGGUGGGGCUUGUUGGUGUAGGGGUGGGGCAUGUUGGAGUGGGGGUGAGGCCAGGUCGGACAUUCUUAUCAGGCUUGUAUAGAGGAUGUGUCUGCCCAGCUUCUCUUUUGCACUGUGCUUUUUGUUUCUCCACAUCUUAUUGAAAUGUAACAUUUAGAAAAACAUCAUUUCCCCCAAAUGGUUUAUCAGAUGAUUUUUCCCUAUUUCUCUUCUGUUCCGUUGAGCCUGAGUCGCACACGCUGCCCAGGCUGCCCUGGGCUUCUGUGCUUAAGAGAUGUUUUAGAUUUGCCCUCCCCUGCUCCCAAGUAGCUCCCAAGCGUUAGCACACUGCACCUGGCUUCCGUUUGUCCUCUCCAUCAAAGUGAUUAUACAAUGCGGCAUUCACUGUUUCUCAUGCUGGACCAUGCAGUGUACGUUUUUCUUUUGUUUUUCUUUUGUUUGUUUGAGACAUGGUCUCUCUGCAUAGCCUUGACUGUCCUGGAACUCACUAUGUAGACCAAGAUGGCUUCAAGAACUCACAGAGAACUGCCUGUCCAAGUCUCCCAAGAGCUGAGAUUAAAGGUAUAUGCUACU
rnacentral:lncRNA from 1 species